rnacentral:lncRNA from 1 species
CAAGGAUGAUUAUGAGACAGAGCAGUUGUUGUAAAGGAAAACCUCAGUAAAAACUGAGUGUCUAAUGUGUGCCCUCUGAGGAGUGUGGCAACUUGCACAGUUCACCUGCUUUCCAGGAUGGAGCACCUUGACGUCAAGACCUUCGUGAGACCUGAAGAGUGAGGCUGUGUUGGAGGAAGGGUGCCCUAUGACUCUGUCAGAUUUCCAACAAAAAUUUUCAAGAGGAGGGAACCCUGUGUAUGUCACAGGCAUUCACACCACCAGACAAGUAGGACCUU